UGUCGUUCCAGCAGUGGUUGUAGUUCCAGCAGUGGUUGUAGUUCCAGCAGUGGUUGUAGUUCCAGCAGUGGUUGUAGUUCCAGCAGUGGUUGUAGUUCCAGCAGUGGUU